CAACAGACGUUCUAUAUUGUCGCAAUUGAUGUGGCAAUGUCCGGUGUAGCAAAAAUCGACGAUGCAGUCGACAAUAUCGGAGGGGAAUGGUAGACGAGCGUUCGACCCCAAUGGGGCGAGAGGGCUUGUGAAUACCGCCCGGAAAUAUUCACUUGCAGCUACCAUAAUGACUCUGUGAACUCUGAAAACAAGAUUGCGUGUUAAAAAAUGAUGGGAUGUACUGGAAACAUGCUUAAAAAUUAACUCGCCUUGUUCUCCUCUGUCAAACAUAAAAUUUAACAUUACAAAGUUAUUUAAGUUGGAAUAUGAAGAUAAUCUGGAGUGGAAUUUAAGAAGUGCUGAGUAAAGUUGUUCCAAUUUGUAGUACAAUUUUGUGGCGUUCUGCCACAGGAAGUGGUAUUUGAUUCAGAUAAACAGGAGGGAGUAGUAACAAAGUGGUCUUGUAAGGAUCAAAAGGCUAGUACUGGAUUGAGACCUAGGAUGCUCCCUUGAGGAACACGAGAGAGGUUAGAAUGGUUCAAAGAGGUUGAGGCUAGGAAUGGAACAUGAAAAAAAGGAUCAGGUAGGAUUUUAUGAUGAAAUAUACUAGAAAGGAAGUAUUUAAGUUUUAGCAGUAUAUGGUGAUGUGAUUGAGAAGCCUAGAAAGAUUUGAACAACUGCUUUUGAUGUGAUGAUGUCUACAAAAAGAAGAAUUUGGUGGAGUUUGGAAAUGGUUCCUUGAUGAGAAAAAGGUAAUCAAAAUACCAGAGUUCCUAUGAGAGUCACCAUAAAAGCACACAGUAAAAAAACCUAACUUCUUUGCCUAAAUAUACUA